rnacentral:rRNA from 1 species
UAGGGAAUUUUGGGCAAUGGGCGAAAGCCUGACCCAGCAACGCCGCGUGAAGGAUGAAGUAUUUCGGUAUGUAAACUUCGAAAGAAUAGGAAGAAUAAAUGACGGUACUAUUUAUAAGGUCCGGCUAACUACGUGCCAGCAGCCGCGGUAAUACGUAGGGACCAAGCGUUGUUCGGAUUUACUGGGCGUAAAGGGCGCGUAGGCGGCAAUUCAAGUCAUCUGUGAAAUCUCCGGGCUUAACUCGGAACGGUCAGAUGAUACUGCUUUGCUAGAGUGCAGAAGGGGCAAUCGGAAUUCUUGGUGUAGCGGUGAAAUGCGUAGAUAUCAAGAGGAACACCUGAGGUGAAGACGGGUUGCUGGGCUGACACUGACGCUGAGGCGCGAAAGCCAGGGGAGCAAACGGGAUUAGAUACCCCAGUAGUCCCUGAGCGGGCUGGCAAGGCGCAU